CAUUAUUGAAUACGUCGGGUUUCUGAUGCUGGCUCUUCACUGAGCAUGUGCUCGUUCCCUUCUAUUUAUCUUCUCUUGUGCACCUUUUGUAGUCUUUGAAGAAGUAAACCUUUUCGCAGCAAUGCGGUUUGGGGGCAUGGUUACAAUCUGCCUCUGCUUGCUUUCUUCAAGGCUAUGUUUUCAUAUACACUAUAAAGUUACAGAAUGUCUUUUAACGAUUGUGCUAGUCGCAGUCAUUAAACCUAUACAACUUUCAGCAACGGAUCUCUUGGCUCUCCCAUCGAUGAAGAACGCAGCGAAAUGCGAUAAGUAAUGUGAAUUGCAGAAUUCAGUGAAUCAUCGAAUCUUUGAACGCACCUUGCGCUCCUUGGUAUUCCGAGGAGCAUGCCUGUUUGAGUGUCUUGAAAUCAUCAACCCCUUCGGUUUUGCGACUGAUGCGGGUUGGACUUGGGGGUUUGCUGCUGAAAGGCGGCUCCCCUUAAAUGUUUCGGUCGGGCCUGUAGGUCGACUUUGAUUGGGCGUUGUAUUAUCCUCGCUCCUGAAAGUCUCCUCUUUCGUGCCCUUCCACGACCUGCCUAUGGAGUGGCGGUCAAACUUUUCUGACAUCUGACCUCAAAUCAGGUAGGACUACCC
rnacentral:rRNA from 1 species